GCCGGGAAAAGGGGCCCAUCCGCCCGGAAGCGAAGGCUGGCCACGCCCCCGAGCCCCGGAAAAGAGGCCGGAGCGAAGGAAGAGCGAGCGAAGGCAGGCAGGAUGCGGGUGUCCCUGGACUUCGAGGAGUGCCUCAAGGACUCGCCCCGCUUCAGAGCUGCACUUGAGGAUGUGGAAGGAGAUGUGGCGGAACUAGAACUGAAACUUGACAAGUUAGUGAAGCUUUGCAUUGCCAUGAUUGAUACGGGGAAAGCCUUCUGUGCAGCCAACAAGCAGUUCACCAAUGGCAUUCGGGACCUUGCUCAGUACUCCAGUAAUGAUGCCCUGGUGGAGGCCAGCUUGACCAAGUUCUCUGACACCCUCCAAGAGAUGAUCAAUUACCACACGAUCCUGUUUGACCAAACCCAGAGAUCCAUUAAAGCCCAACUACAGAUGUUUGUUAAAGAAGAUAUUAGAAAAUUUAAAGAGGCAAAGAAGCAAUUUGAGAAGGUCAGUGAAGAGAAGGAGACUGCUCUCGCCAAGAACGCCCAGGUUCCAAGAAACAAGCAGCAUGAGGUCGAGGAAGCCGCCAACAUCCUCACGGCCACCCGCAAGUGCUUCCGCCACGUUGCUCUGGACUAUGUCCUUCAGAUUAACGUUCUUCAAUCAAAAAGGAGAUCAGAGAUCCUGAAGUCGAUGCUCUCCUUCAUGUAUGCCCAUCUGGCCUUCUUCCAUCAAGGAUAUGACCUCUUCAGUGAACUUGGACCGUACAUGAAGGACCUGGGAGGUCAGCUGGAACGCCUGGCUGCUGAUGCUGCAAAGGAGAAGAAGGAGAUGGAGCAGAAGCACUCCACAAUUCAGCAGAAGCAUUUCUCCAGUGAUGACACCAAGCUGGAGUAUGACCUGGAUGGGGCAGACGGCAUCGUUAUGGAGGGCUACCUCUUCAAGCGAGCCAGCAAUGCCUUCAAGACCUGGAACAGGAAAAAGCCCGAUGGCAUCAGGCGCUGGUUCUCCAUACAGAAUAACCAACUGGUCUACCAGAAAAAAUUUAAGGAUAAUCCCACGGUGGUGGUGGAGGACUUGCGGCUCUGCACGGUCAAGCCCUGUGAGGACAUCGAGCGACGUUUCUGCUUUGAAGUGGUCUCCCCCACAAAAAGCUGCAUCCUUCAGGCAGACUCAGAAAAGCUACGGCUAGCAUGGAUCAAGGCAGUACAGACCAGUAUCGCCACAGCUUACCGGGAGAAAGGGGAUGAGGCAGAGGGUGAGAGGAAGCCGCUCCCUUCAUUGGGGAGCCCUGAAUCCAGCAGCGAAUCCAAAGAGAAGCUGCUGAAAGGCGAGAGCUCCCUCCAGAAAGUACAGAGCAUUGUGGGCAAUUCUGUCUGCUGCGACUGUGGCCUGGCAGACCCCCGGUGGGCUAGCAUCAACCUUGGCAUCACGCUGUGCAUCGAGUGCUCCGGCAUCCACAGGAGCCUGGGUGUCCAUUUUUCUAAAGUCAGGUCCCUGACACUGGAUUCAUGGGAACCGGAGCUGCUCAAGCUGAUGUGCGAACUGGGGAAUGACGUCAUAAACAGGGUCUACGAAGCAAACGUAGAGGACAUGGGAGCCAAGAAGCCCCUGCCAGGAAGUGAAAGACAGGAGAAGGAGGAGUACAUUCGGGCCAAGUAUGUGGGAAGGAAAUUUGUGGCCAGGCACCCAUCUGCCUCUCCCAGUCCAGGAGGGAAGCUUCUCCUGACCAGCCAAGAGGGCAAAAGGCAGAGCAGCCCAGAGGGGACCCCAGCGGCAGCAGCGGCAGCAGCGGCAGUAACCCUGCAAGUGGUUGGCUUAAGUAGCGACAAGGCCAGGCGGGAAUCUCUCUUCUGUCCCGAUGAGCUAGACUCGCUCUUCUCCUACUUUGAUACCUCCUCCAAGCUGCGCAUUAUGCGGAGCAAUGACAGUGGAGUCCAGCACAGCGCAGAGGACAGCAGAGAGCACCUGGCCUCCACCCCGUCAGCAAACCCCUUGUAUGAGCCAGAGCGAGGAGAGUGGCCUGAAGCCACCGCUGCUGCCCCUGCCGCCGGUGGCUCUUCCUCCCCAGGCUCCUCGGAGCAUUUCCUGGCAGGCCUGCAGCUGUACCGGGCCUCCUACGAGAAGAGCCUCCCGCGCAUGGCAGAAGCCCUGGCCCAUGGGGCAGAUGUCAACUGGGCCAACGCUGAGGAAGACAAGUCCACACCUCUGAUCCAGGCAGUCCUUGGGGGCUCCUUGGUCACAUGUGAAUUCCUGCUCCAGAACGGGGCCAACGUCAACCUCAGGGACGCCCAUGGCAGGGGACCCCUGCACCAUGCCACAGUCCUGGGGCACACCGGGCAGGUCUGUUUGUUCUUGAAACGGGGUGCCAACCAACACGCCACAGAUGAAGAUGGGAAGGACCCUCUGAGUGUUGCCAUAGAAGCGGCCAAUGCAGACAUCGUGACCCUGUUACGCCUGGCAAGGAUGAACGAAGAGAUGCGGGAGUCAGAAGGGCUCUACGGCCAGCCAGGUCAACCCCCUAAUAACCACACAGAGAUGCAGUACCGGACUUGCAUCCAGGAGUUCAUUAGCUUGCAGCUAGACCAAGCAUAGUUCCUUCAGACAAAGCGGAAGGCUUGGCCUCGUGUGGCGGGACUGACGCUCAAUCAGGCGCUGGUGGUGGCAGUGGCAGCUGUGGGUGCUGGGGGAGGGCCUCCUGAUGGACAGAAUGCCCAGGACAGGGGAGGCCCCAGCCAGUUGGCUCCUGAACCAGAGCCAGGAAGGGGGGGGGCAGGCAUCUCUUGCCCCCUCCCCAUUGGUCGGCUAUGGAGCAGGGGGACUCAUCCAGCUGACCCAUCUGCUCCCAGUUGACAGUCCCCAUGCCUGUUUGACACAGCUGUGCCAUGGGAGUCCCGGCGGGUGGAGGGCCCAACAGAUGGGCCCUGAAGAUCCCAGCCUAGUUAUGGCUGCCCUGAAUUGGGUGGGUUUGCAGAGGAAGCCAGUGGCUUGUGAUACUGUAGCAGGACCCCUUUUCUUUGGCUCCCGUUUGACCAAAGUGAGGGAGGGCAUUUGGAAACUUUCUGCCCCCAGGGCCUUAGGGGCACUCUGCUGUGCUGGCUUAUAAUUUCAGUGUUUGUUCCCUGAGAAGUUGAAUGGUUCAACCUGAAUCACGUUUGCACGUGAAAGUCCCUGAGACACACACACACACUUUACUUGCUUGAGAAAAGGGGUCAGGGAGAACCCAUGCUUUUCCUAGUUCCUGCCUGGAAAUGUUCUCCCCAACCACCAAAACGCUCAGAUUUAGAAUGCCUUCUGGGGCAUCAGGUUCUUUGCUUUUCCAGGCCUUGUGAAGCGACACUUAGACUGUUGUUUGACCAGGCAGGUUCCCACAAACAGGGCUAAGGGGUUGAAGAAGCUGGAGUGAGCUCUGCUCCUUCAAAUUCUGGAGUGAGGCUUCUCCUCUUGCCCCCCCUCCCUCCAAGGCUAAGGGAACUGAGGCAGGUGGGUUUGGGGUGGGGUGUGUGUGUGUGUGUGCACCCUCCAAUCUCACUGGCUGUCCUAGUGGCACAUAAACCAGAUUGUACCCCGAGGGGGCAGAUAGCUCUGGAAUUUAACCCACCAGUACAGUAUAUUCCCCUCAGCCCUGUCCCUCAGGUCUGCUCCAUAGCAAAAGGGGUGUUUUUUUUGGGGGGGGGAUUACCUACUCUCUGAAGCCAAAGUUCAGGUAGCUGUGGGGCCCUGGGUCCAUAGCCCUGAGAGUGGGGAGUGGUUGAAGGGCCAUAGCUAGAAAUGGUGGAGAGCACAAUGGCAGUGCCCUUCUCCGCCAGAGCCAUGCAGGUCGCUGGCUGGCUAGUGGCUUCCUUGUUGGGCUGAGUUUAGCCUGGUCCCAAGCACCAUCCCUGUCCAUGGCAUUUCUGAGCAGUUGGGAGCUGCCUCAGCCUAUGCCAAAGGGAUAGGACAGUUAGGAAGCUUGUGGCAGCUUCCUGGCCCCACUUUUUAGAGGAGGGACGGGGCUGGAUGCCUCCCUUGGUCAUCCUCAGGGAAACUGAGCUGGGGUCUGGGGUGAGGGUUCUGGCAGGCAGGCAAGCAUUGUAGUCUGAUGGGGUCUUCCAAAAUGGGGGGGGGUGCUACUAGUGCCCAAAGGACCACAAGGACCCACUGAACCCCCUCCCUCCCUCCCUCCCCAAGCCUCAGGUCUGCCACUCUGCCGAAGACCCUCUCUGCCGCCUCUUCUCCCCCAGCGCCCUUCUGGGCCCAGGGAGGGGGGUCUUUUCUGGGCUGGAUGCGUGUGUCCGUCCGGCUGCUGCUCUCCUCCUUCCUUUGCACUCCUUUUGCAAUUCCUCUCUUGUAACUCUGAGCUUUUCUCCAACUAUCUGGCUGCUGGUGAGGGUCUCUCCUCAAGGAGACGAAACCUACCAGGACAUCUUCCGGGACUUCUCCCAAAUGGCUUCCAACAACCCGGAGAAGCUGAAUCGCUUUCACCCGGCUGAGGC